CGGAGUGUAGCGCAGUCUGGUAGCGCACCUCGUUCGGGACGAGGGGGUCGCAGGUUCAAAUCCUGCCACUCCGACCA
rnacentral:tRNA from 135 species